rnacentral:rRNA from 1 species
GUGUCAGCCGCCGCGGUAAUACGUAGGGUGCGAGCGUUAAUCGGAAUUACUGGGCGUAAAGCGUGCGCAGGCGGUUUGACAAGUCUGAUGUGAAAUCCCCGGGCUCAACCUGGGAACUGCGUUGGAAACUGUCAGGCUAGAGUGUAGCAGAGGGGGGUAGAAUUCCACGUGUAGCAGUGAAAUGCGUAGAGAUGUGGAGGAAUACCGAUGGCGAAGGCAGCCCCCUGGGUUAACACUGACGCUCAUGCACGAAAGCGUGGGGAGCAAACAGGAUUAGAAACCCGCGUAGUCC